AUUGAACGCUGGCGGCAGGCCUAACACAUGCAAGUCGAACGAGUGGCGGACGGGUGAGUAAUGGCUGGGAAACUGCCUGACGGACGGGGAUAACUACUGGAAACGGUAGCUAAUACCGCAUACCAUCGGAUGUGCCCUGAUGGGAUUAGCUAGUUGGUGGGGUAAAGGCUCACCUAGGCGACGAUACCUAGCUGGUCUGAGAGGAUGACCAGCCACACUGGAACUGAGACACGGUCCAGACUCCUACGGGAGGCAGCAGUGGGGAAUAUUGCACAAUGGGCGCAAGCCUGAGGCAGCCAUGCCGCGUGUAUGAAGAAGGCCUUCGGGUUGUAAAGUACUUUCAGCGGGGAGGCGUUACCCGCAGAGGAAGCACCGGCUAACUCCGUGCCAGCAGCCGCGGUAAUAC
rnacentral:rRNA from 1 species